rnacentral:rRNA from 1 species
GACGAACGCUGGCGGCGUGCUUAACACAUGCAAGUCGAACGAUGAAGCUGGAGCUUGCUCCGGUGGAUUAGUGGCGAACGGGUGAGUAACACGUGAGCAAUCUGCCCUUGACUCUGGGAUAACUGCUGGAAACUGUAGCUAAUACCGGAUACUUUCACUGGAAGGCAUCUUCUGGUGAAGAAAGAAUUUCGGUCAAGGAUGAGCUCGCGGCCUAUCAGCUUGUUGGUGAGGUAACGGCUAACCAAGGCGACGACGGGUAGCCGGCCUGAGAGGGUGACCGGCCGUACUGGGACUGAGAAACGGCCCAGACUCCUACGGGAGGCAGCAGUGGGGAAUAUUGCACAAUGGGCGCAAGCCUGAUGCAGCAACGCCGCGUGAGGGAUGAAGGCCUUCGGGUUGUAAACCUCUUUUAGCAGGGAAGAAGCGAAAGUGACGGUACCUGCAGAAAAAGCACCGGCUAACUACGUGCCAGCCGCCGCCGUAA